CAAGGAAAGCUCCACGGAGCCCUAAUGAGCCCUGGACCAUCAUUUGAAAACCACUGGCUUUGGGGAUUUUCAUGAGCCAUGCUGAAAUCUAACCAGUGGAAGAAUCCCAGACACGUCAGUCAUCGCCGAGCCAUGGAACUGAAGCCUGUUCGCUCCCAAUGUGCUUCGCUUUAGUUCAGUGUGUUACGUGCUAAAGGAGAGAGGAAUUUGAGGUUUACACUCCAAGAGAUUUGACAAACGGGACCUGAUUGCAUCCCUGUAGAGUAAACCAGCUGAACGGAGCCUUCCUGCCUCCCUAGAAACAAAAACCUCCUGGAUUUGUGGUUUCUUUGAAAUCUUUCUGGUCGCGUGGCCCCUACGGGGGUUCAAAUCGGAGGGUUUCUGUCGAACGCACGUGAGUCUGUAAUAGCAGCGAAGCGUCUCCGUAGCCUUGGCCGAUGAGUUGAGGCAGCCCCCUGGGCACUGCACUGUUUGCCCCAGUGAUGGGAAUUCCAGGACCAUAACCCCACAUCUGUUUCACUUCGACUGGUGGUUUCUUGGAGGAGCUCAGCGUGCCAACCUCGAGGCGAGGACAUAUCGAAGGGGAUUCUGAUGUGUGACUCAAACAGGCAGAAGUUCAAGCUUCUAUAUAUAGCGAUGAGUGGAGAUUUUCAACUCCAAGAAAUCCGUUCUCCGUUUCGUCUUUGCCUCCUCUCGGGUGGUUCUCACCCUGUCUGCUCCAGAUUCGACAGCAAAACCGGGGGGAGGGUUUAGCAGAUGCCUUCUUUACCUUUACUUCAUGAUUUUAAUAAUAAAAGUUGUUCCACGCCCAUAAAAUCACCAGCUCCCUGCAGUUACUUUGAGUCAUGAAAUAUACAAAGCGGAAAUUCAAUCGCACGUUUUGUGUGUGUGGUCGGAAUCGCUAGCAGCUGCUUCGGAUUUUUUUUAAACACUUUCGUUUAUGCAGGGGAGGCAUAAUUAUUAUUUUUACUUAAUAAAAGUAGGACAAGUCGCCCCUGCUCUUACAUGUGUCCUUCCUUAUCGGGUUUCCAAGGCUCUGAUUAUUCAAUAGCUAAUUUAAACAAAGCGGAUAGAAAAGAUGUCAAGUAUCCGGAGCAUUUAGUCCUUAAUUUAGAAUAAAUAUAUAUAUCUAUUCCCAGUGCACGUUAUUGGGAUUAAAGGAGUGUAAAAGUGAGAGAGCGCAGCUGUUGUGUUUACACGCGCGGAGUU